rnacentral:tRNA from 2 species
GCGGGUGUGGCGAAAUUGGCAGACGCGCCAGAUUUAGGUUCUGGUGUCUUCGGACGUGGGGGUUCAAGUCCCUUCACCCGCACCA